CUAAAUGAAACUAGAUACAAGCGAGCGGCGGACGGGUGAGUAACACGUGGGUAACCUGCCCAAGAGACUGGGAUAACACCUGGAAACAGAUGCUAAUACCGGAUAACAACACUAGACGCAUGUCUAGAGUUUGAAAGAUGGUUCUGCUAUCACUCUUGGAUGGACCUGCGGUGCAUUAGCUAGUUGGUAAGGUAACGGCUUACCAAGGCAAUGAUGCAUAGCCGAGUUGAGAGACUGAUCGGCCACAUUGGGACUGAGACACGGCCCAAACUCCUACGGGAGGCAGCAGUAGGGAAUCUUCCACAAUGGACGAAAGUCUGAUGGAGCAACGCCGCGUGAGUGAAGAAGGGUUUCGGCUCGUAAAGCUCUGUUGGUAGUGAAGAAAGAUAGAGGUAGUAACUGGCCUUUAUUUGACGGUAAUUACUUAGAAAGUCACGGCUAACUACGUGCCAGCAGCCGCGGUAAUACGUAGGUGGCAAGCGUUGUCCGGAUUUAUUGGGCGUAAAGCGAGUGCAGGCGGUUCAAUAAGUCUGAUGUGAAAGCCUUCGGCUCAACCGGAGAAUUGCAUCAGAAACUGUUGAACUUGAGUGCAGAAGAGGAGAGUGGAACUCCAUGUGUAGCGGUGGAAUGCGUAGAUAUAUGGAAGAACACCCAGUGGCGAAGGCGGCUCUCUGGUCUGCAAACUGACGCUUGAGGCUCGGAAAGCAUGGGUAGCGAACAGGGAUUAGAUACCC
rnacentral:rRNA from 1 species